rnacentral:rRNA from 1 species
GAGACCCACGCCAACAGUUGCCAGCUCGUCCUCCGGGAUGGAGGGGACACUGUUGGGACCGCCUCUGCUAAAGAGGAGGAAGGAAUGGGCAACGGUAGGUCAGUAUGCCCCGAAUAUCCCGGGCUACACGCGAGCUACAAUGGUUGGUACAAUGGGUAUCUACCCCGAAAGGGGACGGAAAUCUCCUAACGCCAAUCUUAGUUCGGAUUGAGGGCUGCAACUCGCCCUCAUGAAGCUGGAAUCCGUAGUAAUCGCACAUCAACAGUGUGCGGUGAAUAC